rnacentral:misc_RNA from 1 species
GCACAACUCCUCCUCUGCUGAAUCAUGAUUUAACCUUAUCUGUCUAGAGCAUGAAGCACAAGCCCCACUGUAACCAAGCUUUUCAAGAUCUCCUAGUGGUGGAGGAAACACUUCAGCCAAGUCACAUGUAUCAUUAUGCGUCUCAGGACAAUUACCAGUGCCUAGUUCACCACUUUUCAAGAUAAUAUCACCAUCUGUAGAAGUAGAACACGUCAACCCAGCAAUAUGCAAAUUAUUCCCAGGCACAGAGCAGCUCUCUGGUAACCUUCCGGAAUCUCCAGAAAUUUCUCCCACUGUGCAGCCAUUUUUAGAUACUCCCGAACCAUUUUCAGCAGGAAGAGCAACAGAUUUUUCUGUAGAACAGCAUCUGCGAUUUGAA